AACCAACUGAAAGGAGGUGAUCCGGUGUCUAGUGAUCUUGCGAUGAGGGGCGAGUUCGUGUGUCUCGGCAGGAUGUCGGAGCAACCUUCGGCGGCCAACUGAAGCACAUAAAUCGAGUUCGAGCCUUCAUCGACUCACGGAAAGGCCGCCCCAUCCGGGCGGCCUU
rnacentral:sRNA from 1 species